GGAUUUGAGGGUGAUCGGGCUGUGACAUGACAUCCCAUUGAUUGCCAGGGUUGAUUCGUCUAGUCUGGCUGCCUCCGUGGAUGUACACUUCCUCCCUCACCGCUCCACGUGCGUCUCUCCCAAAGCUGUGUGCUUGGUUGAAGAGUAUGACCUUCCCCGCUAGAGGACUGUUCUUCAGUCAAGGGUAUACAAGUAGCUGCGCUCCCCUACUAGAACCUCCAAACAAGCUCUCAAGAAGAGUAAAUGUGAUGAAAGGUGUGGCAGGAAAACAUUUGUCAGGGGAGCAACAAUAAAAUUAUUAAGCCCAACUCAGGAGCUAAGCCAAUAAAGAGAGAGCCUUACAACCAGUCGCCUUGUCUUU
rnacentral:snRNA from 1 species